CCCUCCCAGAAGACACAGAAACCUCAGCUCUAACGGCCAGGAACAUCCUUCACUCCCGCAGCACAUCCCUAAGUGAGAGCGGCCGGGUGGAGAAGGCCACACACCGUGUGGUUCCAAGUCUAGGACGUUCUGGAAAAGGCGGAACGGCGGAGGAGGCCAGAGAAGAGAACGUGCUUUUGAAGAAGAAAAAAGACCCGGCCUGAAGGCCUCGUACCCCACUCGGCCUGGGUCACG